ensembl:lincRNA
UCCACCUUUGCUGCGCUGGGUGCUGGGGUCACUCAGUGCCAGGGUGACAGCCUCCCUGAGUGCAAGGGUUUGCAGUCAGCUCACUGCUCAUCACAGAAGACUGCAGUGUUUUUUUAAGGAGAAAGGAAACGAAGUCCCCCAUGAUCGUCCACAUUUUGGCCCUGCUGAAAAGGUCUUGGAAAACAAGCUGGAACCUGUCAGAACCCAAGCAAGGGCACAGUCAGGUACCCACUGAACUGAGGGGUGGGUGGUUGAGGGACAAGGUUGGGACACACUCUGCUCUCUCACCCCCGAAAUCUCUGGGAACAAAGCUGCCAAGCGUCUGGUCACCUGGAGCAGGAAGGAGCUGUCUACACACUGAGCAGCAGAGGAAGGGCCCUGGGGUCAAGCAGACCAAAUUUGGAUCCUGGGCCCACCCAGGAUGACACCUCCACCUGCAUGUCUAGACCCUAGGCCAGGAGGUGACAACAAGGGAAGACAGGAGAUGGAUGGACCCACAUUGUGACACACUAUUUUAUGGAACCUUCCCUGACGCUGCUGCAUUUUAUACGGUUGUUGCUACCUACGGGGGAGAGGUCAGUUCCCAGGACCGCACUGCUCACUCACACAGGGCUGCACUGUUGGGAAGAGGCACUGCCUGGUUAAACGCUCACACAGGCUCUGGCUCUCCUAGGAAUGGCCCAGCAUCCAGGGUGCCACCUAAGGUCUCACUGUCUUAGGCGGCCUCCUUAUUCUGGAGGUGGGCCAAGUAGGAGCUGCCCAUAGAGGACACCAGGCUGGAGCACACAUGACUACCCUCAUCAACCUGACCUUGCCUGUUGGAACCAGGGUGGUGGAUUAGGCUGGGCGGGUAGGAGGCGUGAGGCCUGGAGGUUAAAGACCAGGGCCAAGGAUAGCAGGGACUGAGGCAUGUAGGUCAGUGCCUGAAGCCCAUGUAGAACCCAAUUAACACUGCUGUGAAGGGAGCCAAGCAUCCUCAGGCCCCGGGGAAGGUGGCUGGGUCACAGUGGCCCCAGCCUGGCAGAUUACGUUCAUCCUGGCCACAUCUUGGGGCUCAGUUUUUCAGGCAGCCAGCCACAGCCUCUGGGGAUCCUAGUUCCACAGAGAGGCAGGAAGGGGAAGAGGGUGCAGAGCCUCUGUGAGUCUCAGCGCCGCCUGGGUGGGUAGAGACACUUGUCCGGUUCUGAGGACAUGCUGGGCUCCUCCCCAAGUCCUGCUUCUCCCUGUUCUGCUCCUGGGGAUCACACAGCUCAAGCAAAGCCACAGAUGCCAGGGAAGUCAUCCUCUUGGGCUUGAACAUUAAGCCACAGGCAACUCCGCCCAGAUACCCUUGUCCUGUGGUGGCUUGAGCACCCUCCCUCACUGGCUGGUUCUUCCCCAUUUCCUGCACCAUCUUCUAAUCCAUCUCCGCCUCUGCUUCCUUCCCUCUCUGCAGCCUCCUGCUGAGCUUCCAGCCCUGUUCCCAGGCUCUGCAGCUCCCCAUGGCCUCCAGAAGACACUCAAAAAAUGUCACCCUGCCUUGGGGCCAGAGUCACAAAUGAGGUGCCUCAGUGAACAUCUGUACAGCUUUGAUUGUGUAUCAUGGGCGUGAAUUUUCUGGUUUAAAAAAAAAAAAACUGAGCAGGGCAUGGUGGUGCAUGCCUGUAAUCCCAGCACGUGGGAGGCUGAGGUAGGAGGAUCACCAAGAGUUCAAGUCCAGCCUGGGCUACAUAGUGAGUUCAAAGUUAGCCUGAACUAAAUAGUGAGACCCUGUCUCAUAAAAAUAAUAAAACAAAACAAAAUAAAACUGUUAUUAAGUAUAAAAGUAAUGUGAAAGUAUCUGCGGACA